rnacentral:rRNA from 1 species
AGAGUUUCGUAGUCCUGGCGUCAGGAUGAGCGCUGGCGGCGUGCCUAACACAUGCAAGUCGAACGGAGCGAUUUUUGGUAAAACGUUACCUUCGGGGAGGCGGAAGUCUUUAGUCUUAGUGGCGGACGGGUGAGUAACGCGUGAGCAAUCUGCCUUGGAUGGGGAGUAACAGCCGGAAACGGCUGCUAAUACCGCAUAAUGCAACGGGACCGCAUGGUUCUGCUGCCAAAGAUUUAUUGUCCAAAGAUGAGCUCGCGUCUGAUUAGCCAGUUGGCGGGGUAACGGCCCACCAAAGCGACGAUCAGUAGCCGGACUGAGAGGUUGAACGGCCACAUUGGGACUGAGACACGGCCCAGACUCCUACGGGAGGCAGCAGUGGGGAAUAUUGCGCAAUGGGGGGAACCCUGACGCAGCGACGCCGCGUGAUUGAAGAAGGCCUUCGGGUUGUAAAGAUCUUUAAUCGGGGACGAAACAUGACGGUACCCGAGGAAUAAGCUCCGGCUAACUACGUG